rnacentral:pre_miRNA from 1 species
GGAAUAAAUGUCUCUAUUCCAGUAGCUCUAACAACAGCACUGAUCUUUCCAUAGUAAUUAGUAAGUGCUAUUUGUUGGGGUAGUUUGAAGUGA